rnacentral:rRNA from 1 species
GACGAACGCUGGCGGCGUGCUUAACACAUGCAAGUCGAGCGGUAAGGCUCCUUCGGGAGUACACGAGCGGCGAACGGGUGAGUAACACGUGAGCAAUCUGCCCUUCACAUCGGGAUAACCUCGGGAAACCGAAGCUAAUACCGGAUACGACCAUCGGUGGCAUCACCUGGUGGUGGAAAGUUCCGGCGGUGAAGGAUGAGCUCGCGGCCUAUCAGCUUGUUGGUGGGGUAAUGGGCCACCAAGGCGACGACGGGUAGCCGGCCUGAGAGGGUGACCGGCCACACUGGGACUGAGACACGGCCCAGACUCCUACGGGAGGCAGCAGUGGGGAAUAUUGGACAAUGGGCGAAAGCCUGAUCCAGCAACGCCGC